rnacentral:Y_RNA from 1 species
GGCUGGUCAAGUGCAAUGGGGUUUAUGCUAACCGAUCGCAACCAGUUACAGAUUUAUUUGUUCUCCUUCCGCUCCUGCCGCUUCACUUGACUAGCCUUUA